UGGCUGGUCUAUGUCAAGUUAUACUUAAAGGAGCAAAAAGUCUAAAGUCUUGCUUCUUUUUCCGUGGACAUUUAUUUGAUAUAAGGCACUGUGCUUCCAUUCAUUUUCAUUGAUUUCCUAUCCCCUCUUUGGAGACAGAGCAAGUUUCAUAUUAAAAACAGGAAGAACUGUAAUCUAUCUGUGAGAGUAACACACUCAGUUUUCCUCCUCGGUGCUUUAAACUUAUUCCAGUUUCUACAGAGUGAACUCUGGUAACUGCUCACGUGGCUGCAUUAUAUCCCUGUCUUUUUUUCCCAAUAGUUCCUAUCUGACACAUCACUUGCCAUCCUUUUCCCUCAAUUUCCUCAGAAGAAUAAAUAAUACUGCUUUAACAUUUGAGACACAAUACUGCUGGUGGGGAAGUGAGAGAGAGCCCCGGAGAAGUUUGCUCAAGUUAUUGCAGCGCUUGUACCUGCAAGGCACGGUGGGUCCAGCAGUUUUAGUGAGACUCCAACUACGAACAGCCGCAGAUAAGAAACGUUUCAACAGUUUGAAGUCUCUCUACAGACUGGAGUUAACAUUGCCAUGAAAACUAGAAACUCAGUUUCUAGGUUACUCCUUCCAGGUAAAAGCCUAUCAGGUAUGGGAUGCGGGGCUGGAGUAGCCUUCCAGGGCAGGCUUGAUGUGGAGCUGGAGAGGACAGCAAGGAAGGAAAGGCAUAGGAACAUAGCAUAUGUCCCAGGCACACUCCAUAACAUAAGUCUUCUUAAAUGAAUUUGGCUAGCAGUGAUGGGACAAUACUAUGUGAAUCAAAGUCAGUGAUGCACUGGUGUGGGGUUGUUGCAGCAGGGGGAUCAGUGGCUGAACUAUUGGCCAGCCUGUGGGCUUGGGCAUGAUUUUCACUGCUCACGUGGCCCUGAGAGCCAAUGGCUUCAAGAGCCGCCGUUGGAGGGUGUCGUACUGAGUGGGCAUAUAUCAAAUUCCAAAUUCCUUUGUGUGAGAGCUCAGGAGAGACAAUAAUGUGUUUACAAAUGAUUGGGACUCACACAGGGGAGAGAAACCACUGCUCAUGCCAUAUGUGUUUCAGAACGAGCUGCUGAAUACCAGCGUGCAGAAGUCUGCAUUACAAAUUGGAUCAGCUACAGCAACUUGUCCAAUUCUAUUGAAGUCAUCUGACAGUCCCUGCAACUCUUUAUUGCCGAAGAUGCUGUGUUAAAUUAGAAAACAAAAAUGCCCUAAAAGUUAAA